rnacentral:rRNA from 1 species
ACCUAUCAUCUAUCUAUCCCCUAAAGGCACCAGAUCCCAUCUGAUAUUGGAAGCCAAGCAGGGCUAGCCUUGGCUAGUACUUGACUGAGAGAUUGCCAACGAAUACCAGGUGCCCUAGGCU